CCUCCCCUGCUCGUGCUGUCUCUCUCUGUCUCUGUCUCUCAAAAAUAAAUAAACUAAAAAAAAUUUUUUAAAGAUAAAAUUAAAAUGCCUCAGUGACAGAAGCACCAUCAACAGCAGAAGCAAAUAUUUACUGAAUUUGAUCCAAGCACCCAAACUGAGGAAAUGUGAACACUGGGAAAGAAGGUUCUAGUUCAAACUUCCUAGACUUUUUUUUUUUUUUUUUAAGAAAACAGACAUCUCCAAAGAGACUUUUAUGUUCUAAGGGACAAACAAAAUCGUAGUAAAUUAAAUGUGUACUGUUUAUUUCAGCUGGCACAUUAACUAUAUAGUUAAUGUGGUGUCUCCAAGCAAGGUGGUUGGCUCUCUUUACAUGCUAGAAUAAUCAAUGAUUUAUGUACCUGACCGUCUUUUCAUAAUCCUUUACACAAGCAUGUGUAUUUAUGACUGUUUUAGAAAACUUUGAGGAUAAUUUUAUUAUUGAAAGGGAUUAUAAAUUUUUUGCCAUUGUGACUGUGCUUGUUUAACCAUAUUUAAAAUUCUUCUGAAGUCAAAUACUUUUUCAGCUACAACAGUGAGGCAUUGUGGGAAAAUAGGCUGGUGGGCUUGCCGGGUUACAUUUGCUAAAAAUGGGACAUGCGUUUAUUUGGUCCCUCAAGGUUGGAACUCAGAAAUCACCUUAUCCAGUGAUUAUCAACAGGGGCACUGAUGCCAUAUUGAGUGUGAUCAUUUUCCAUUGUUUAGGACUAUCUUGAGCAUUGUCAGGGGAUUUAGUACCCCUGGCCCACCUGCACCAAAUGCCACUUGAAUCAUCUAGAAAUUUGGACAACAAACGCCCACAAUGGGGUGUGCCAUGGGGGACUGCCCUUGGGUGAGAAACACUGAUCAAUCCAAUGACUCAUGAAUGGGCUGCACAGGUCCCCUUGCACUGUCCUCUAAAGAUAACAGAUCAGCCCGGCUCUUCUGCCAUGCACCCACACCUCCAGUGAUGAAGAAAUCACCACCUCCUAAAGCCACAUUUGAACUCUACUCAUUAUUAAAAUGUUAUUUUUUAUGACAUAACUCCUCCCCCCCCCCACCACCACUUCCAUCAUUAGCCUUUGGUCUGUAACACAGACCUCUUUGUUUCUCAUCCUCUUUCACAUGAAUGCCCUUCAGUCUUUGAGAGUAGCCAUUGUGUUCCUGCUGUCCCAUGACAACCUCCCACCCCUCCUGGAAACUUGCUGUGUCAUUGUACAUGGUUUUGCACUUCAUGGCAAAGCACUUUUUAUAUUACCUCAUUUAAUUUUCACGCCAUGAUGUAGGGGUGAUCAUUUCCUCUUCACAGGGAAUGAAAUGGAGUUUCAAACCCAAUGACUGACCCAAGGCUGCACUGUUGGUCAUUGGUCAAGCAGGAACAGGAAUCUAGUUCUUAUGCAAAUUCAGUACCUGUCACACUUCUCCCAGUGUUCGCUAAAUUUUGUCCAGUCUCUCCCUUUCCAAUGCCUUCUUUCUUCCCAUCUCCACCUCUGCUUGUCUCCCAUCAUAGAAGGCAUGAUGGCCCCAAUUUUUUACCCUUUUUGUAUUUGCAUCCUUUACCAUAUUGCUUUGCAUUUCUUCCUAGCAACAGGUGGAAUAUAUUUCUCAGCUCUUGAUUUUGGGUUCAAUAGAAUGAAGUGAAAAUGUCAUUAUACCAGUUCUGAAUUUAGGCCUCAAGAAGCCUUGUAUGUUCCCACUUGUUCUUUUGCAUUUCUGCCUUCAUUAGACACAAGGAGCAGAGCCGCCUCAGCUGUCCUAUUUAGAUUAGCUGACUCCCAGCCAACCCAGAGGCUUGCAAGAAAAAAACAAUUGGUUUUAUUUAACUUAUUGAGUUUGGAAUUAUUUGUUAUGCAGCGGUUGCUAACUGAUACAUUUCUUCAACCUUCAGAAAACAAAGACUUCCCUUUACCCACUGUUUUUCUUUCCCUCAUUACUUGAAAGCCCGUACUAGCUUUCUUAACAUCUUCAUCUUUUGUUUCACAAACCACUGCUACCUUCUGCUCCACUCUCCCUGUGAGAAGGGGCCCCCAACUUCUAAUGGCCAAACACCACGUGGUCCUGACAGUCUUUAGCGCCUUGAAUCAUCCUGCCCUUCUGUAACUCCUUCUUUGGUUUUCAUGACACUUCCUGUGUUUCUCAUCUCUCUUUUCUCCUGUCAGGAGUCUGCUCUUUGCCCUUGUUGCCUCUUGCUUUCCUUCUCUCUCCCCAGGGACCCUAACCUCUCUCAUGACUUCAAGGACCACAAAAGUAUCGAGCUGUUUGUAACCCCAUGUCUCUUCAACAUUCCAGCUGUGUGUGCAUGUCUGUUUCACAGCUCCUGCAGGGGGUACUGAUGGUUUCACACAGGAAAUGAUUGCAGGUGGAGUGGAGGAGGAGUGGCAUAGGAAGAGAUCAGUGGUCAGGACUCCAGACCAGAAGGUACUGCAAGAAUCCAGGCAAGAGGUGAUGUGGCCAGGCUCAGAUGUCAGAGUCACCAGAAACCCUUGAUUGAGCACCUGUGCUUCCUCCUGCAAAGCUGCAGUUUUGUUUUUGGACUCAGGCAUCCCUCCUGGACCGAUGUCAAUCAGUCAUUUGGUCAAUGUGUUACUUGUAUCCUACUCAAGGCACAGAUAACACUGGAAAGAAAGUUUCUGGCAGGAAGAAUACAGCAAUACCUGUUAUUUGUUUUAGCUACCAAAUGGCUGCAUGACCCAGAAAUUGAUGCAGGUGUGGCUGGUAAGUGAAACUAGAAUUUGAGUAUUAUUGGAUGCUCGGGGAUUUGGAAUUGGGGGGUGGGGCAGAGGAGCAUGGAGGGGACAUGGAAGGACAGUAUGACUCACUGGAACUGUAUAUGGUUGUAGCAUCAGCCAGCAAGGAGUAGGAGGUUGGCAGGGGAGAAUGACACCAAGAAGGGCUUUUGGAACACUUCUGUGGUGCAAUAGGGAGCCAUAGAAGGUUGUAACAGGACAGAAUCAUAUUUGUACCCUUAAACAAUCACUCCAGCAUCAGUGUGGAGAAUUCAUCCAUGUGGAGUGAUGGCUGGUGGUUGGAUCAAAAUGAGAAACGAUGAGGAUAUGAGCAAAGGUGACAUUUGUAGGGAAUGAGAAGAGGGGAGAGAGAAUGUGACUGAAUUGAGCAGAAAGAGGGCAGAGUUGCAGGGAGUUAGCAGGAUCAGCCUAGAGGUGGUGCCACAAGAAGUAAUAGGGGAAAGACACAAGUGAAAUUAUGAUUCAUAAAGAAUGAAUCGGUCUUUCAUUCAAAAAUACUGAUUGAAAAAAUGUACAUAUCAAGUCAGCACUUUCUACGUUCCAGUCACUGAGCUAGACUCCAAGGAUGUGUCUGUGAAGAAGACAGACAUUGCCUGGCUCCAGGAGGUCUGCGACCUGGUGUGGGAGGCUCCUGGUGUGCUUGGGGAAGACCCAGGCAGAUAUUUAAGCUGGGGGUUUGAAGGAUGGGGUCAAGAGGCAGCCAGACAGAGUAUAUGCCGGAGAAUAGCUCCAGGCGAAAGUGACAGCCUAGAAGGGGAAAGCCCAGGGCAGGAACUGACAAGAAGCGGGGUUUGCUGGGAACUCCUGGGAGCCAGACCAGGCACCCGGUGCUUGGAGGACAGUGGCAAGGGCUUGGGUGUGCUUCUGAGUGUCCAGGGAAGCCAUCGGAGGUUAUGGGGCAGGGGAGGGCCGGUGCCAGUCUGAACUAUGAGAAGUUCCCCUGGGAAGUGCGCAGAGAGCUGGGGCCCCCGCAGGAAAGUCCCCCCCCCCCCACACACACACACCGCAGCAGCAGCAGCAGCUGCGGUCAGGGGCAGGGCCAUGGUGUGGCUGCAGAGAAGCGCUCAGGCCGGGCAAGUGAUUUGAGAGUAGAAAUAUGGAGGGAUGGACUGGGGGUGAGAGGACGGAGAGGAGUCACUCAGGACCUGGUAGGCUGCUGGUGUGAGCAAGUGGGGCGUUGAGGGGGGCGCUCGGGAAGUCACCGGCUCUGCCUUGGGGUACUAGUGCCCAUCCAGAAGAAGGCUUAGCCGCUUGGAGAUCAGACAAGGGGUCUGGGUCCGCAGUGAUGGGGGUCACGGGCAUGCACAUGGGGGUGUAGAGGUAGAGGAGAGUAUAUGGGGCCAUUCAGGAGAGGAGUGGUCAGAGAGGAGGGUUGGAGGGACAGUGGUCACAGUCUCCCCUGUCCUGGAGCGUAGAGGGAGAGAAGGGCUGACAGUGGAGAGGGUUCUGGCCGUCGGUCGGCAGGCACUGUGCGUGAAUGAAUUCCACCGCCAGCAGCCUCGGCGCAUCCUGGAUGGCCCUUCUGUGGUGAAUUGACUCUCACAGACUCCUCUCCUUGGCACUGUUGGAGGCUGCAGAGAGGAGCUCUGAGGAGAGAGCAGCAUCCAGCCUGGGGAGGAGCCGCAGGGACACUGGGGCAUCGUCUCUAGCGAGGUGGCCCAUCAGCUCCUCACUGGCUUCCCGCAGGCAGCUCACACCAGAUCCCAGCUCCUCUCCAUGAGGCCAGGGCCAGAUCCUGAGCCUUUCCCGACAGCGACAUUGGGUGAAGUCCUGCAUGCCCUCCUUGCCCUGGCCCUCUCCUCCAGGCGCUGGUUUCCUGGUGGCUCAGGCUGUGUGCCACUCGAGGACACAGACGGGCACAGCCAACUGCCAACUGAAAACUGCCAGUCUGCUUGGAAAUGUCCCCUGUCAAGGUGAAGGGCAGCCUGGUGCUGCCAGAGGCCACCAGGUGGCUGCGGGCACGCCCUCCUCCUUCCUCCCACACCCCAGGCAGCACAGAGUCUCAUUCACACAGAUGGGCCAGGUCACGGCCCUGUGAAUGCCAUGCAUCGCCCCCAGAAAACGGCAGAGGCUUCUUCCCCCACAGCAGGAACAGCAGUCUGCAGUUAGGGCCUCGCCUCUGUACCUGAAGCUGGCGUCUGGACCAGGGCCUCUCCAGGAUGGGGCUGGGGAAAGAGCCAGGUCUAGCUGGGAGGUCAACCACCUUUUGUCUCGAUGGCACUUUUUCAAAGGUAUGUCAGCCUGGUCUUUAAUGGAAAUACCAAGCCUCUUAGUGAGCAGCUCUGGCCCACAGAGCUUACUUACUGCAUGAGACACAGACUCAGAUCGAUGUCGCCAUGACUGGGUCUGGUGAACACGUAGAAAGAACUUGGGGCCGUCAGGGAGGAAAGAGUACAGACCCAGCAGCCCUCAACCCUCACUGAACAAACGGAGGAGGCUGAAGGGGAGGAACAUGGUGGUUUUCCCCUGAGCCUCCAGUAGGAGAGAGGAGACAGCUACAGGUAACAUAAGAAUACACCUGAAAAUGGGGUGAAGGACUGGGUGUGUUCUGAGGCCCCAACUACAGCAAGGAACGGGUGGCUUCCUCUGCACAUGGACUUCCGUAACCCCCCCAAAUCAGUGCGAUUGGCCCCUACUUUUCUUGAGCUCCAGAUUCAUUUGUCCACCUGCUGCCCAGAGUCUCCAUGUGGAGAUACCACACGAAACUAUCCAGAGCUGCCCUCACCGUCUCUCUCACACGAUUCUGUCCCUCGGGUGGGCACCUGGCCACAGUCACAGGCCUGUGAGGCGCCCUCGUCCUCGCCCUUAUCUUCCAGAAAUGGCAUGGAACUAGGUGUGGUCGAUGUUAAGUCCUGAAUGUCUCACAAGUCCUGUAGCUUCUGCCUCUGGGCUGUGGGUUUGAAUCCCACUCAGCCAUGUGCUCCCUGUACCAUCUUGGGCAAGUGACCCUCGCUCUGCCUCUGUUUCUGCAUCUGUAAAAUCAGGGUAAUCAGCACACGCCUCCUACGGUGGUUUUGAGGACUGAGUUUUGUACCUCCUGAAGCGUCUAGAGCAGCAGGCACUAAGUCAGCAAUAGCUGCCUUGAUGAUGGUAUUAAACCCUUAGGACAGCAUUCAAGACUCCCCUCCCGGCCCCCUCCACACAUCCACACCUGACACACAGGGCACGCACUUCGUCAUUCUCUGACCGUGCCAUGCUCCAGGGCCUGUGGCUCCUUGUGCCUGGAUUGCACACAGCAAACCUUUUCCCCGGCUGGCAGUGAGCCCCUGAGGGCCACUGAGGGAGAAGACAGGGAAGCACCUCCUGAGCUGGCUCGUGACUCACAGGUCACCCACGUUAGCGCCUUCACUUGCAAAACCUCGCUGUGAGGCAGGUCGUCUUUUUGCCUUGCUUUUUGGGCAGGAAACUGCAGCUCAGUGAUUCUUCAGCUCUAAGAGCUGGUUGUGGAGCUGGAAUGAAGUCCAGGUGUGUGGCCUUCCGCACCGUCUGUGUGGCCUUUCACUGACUGUGCAAACCUCUCAUGUCGUUUAAGGGGAAAAACUAGAGGUCUUUGAGAGAGAGAGAGGACACGAAGAGGAUGUGGAAACAAUUCCCUCAGCGGUGGGUUUGCAAUGUGUCCAUUUAGCUAAGCCGAAACACGUUUCCAGGACUAAUGAAUUUGGGUCUCAAGUUGUCAGAGGUGCGAGGAGAAGCCAAGUGGCAGCCACAUGUACCCUGGCAAGGUUUCUCUGAAUCUGGGAUCAGCCCGGGGAGCUCCCCAGUGAACUGCACUGUCCCGUGGCCAGCCCCCAUUCUGGAAGAUGGAGGGCUCGGAGUGCCUCCACGGACUCCAGUGCUUCCUCAUGGGUUCCCACUUUCAGUCGGCCUUGACCUGCCCUGCUGACUCAGGGACAGUAUACGAGGCCUAACCCCUCUGGCAAUCCUGCUGUGUCCCUCUGUGGUUGGUCCAGAAUUAGUUCAAUGGACAUUGGGUUACAUGGGUAAACAAGUGGUUGAAUAAAUCAAUGUUUUGGUUGCUUUGCAAUUCAAAUUGCAGGAGAACUAAAACUAAGGGAAGUCAUGUUUUCCAACCUCUACUAAAGGACAGAUUAACGCAUUUAACAUGUUCUCCCCAAAGUCCCCCGUGGUCGCGGCUCUUUAAAGUAACAUAGAUGGCUCACGGUGUAGUGAUUAAAUCACAAUCCGUAUGAGUUGAUGGUAAAGGGGUUGUGAAUUUUUAUGUGGUUUUGUGACUUUAUUUUAGGGUGUUGGUCCUCAUUCACCCUCCUUCACGGGAGGGGCUAGGUGAUCCCCACAGGAAUCAGAUGUGCGUCCAUCAGACUUCUGCCUCGUGGCAGCCCUGUGGCUCUGGGCCACAGAGGAAUCUGAGAUGGAAGAAUGGCCGGCUGGGCAGCAACCACUUCUAUCAGGAAAUCUAAGCCAACGUUACGUCCAACUGAAAAAGCAAGCCAAGAGAACAAAAGCAGGUGCAGAAUUACAGUCUGAAAUUAAUACCUGCAUGCAGUCAAAGGGUUGUUCAAAAUUCUAGAUUGAAUUCCCUAUCCUGUAGGUCUCAUUUGACCUUCCAAACAUCAGACGACCAAGCGGAACAAAUUUGCCCCCCUGGAAUGAAUCUAGCUUUUGAAGUCUUUCCACUGAGUUAUCCUGCAGCUCUGGAAUCCAGGAUUCCCUCUUUUUCCUUGGGGGCUGUGAAGUAUCUGUCCCCACCCUGGGAAAGCCAGAGAGCAGGUCUGCCUUGUGAUGCAUCCUCCUUUCCAAAGAGACAGCCUUUGGGAGCAGACCUAGCCUUAAAUCCCGGCUCAGUUGCUGGCUGUUUGACGCGGAGCACGUUCCUUACCCUUUCAGUCACUGCGUUCUCCUCCAUGAAGUGAUGUAUCUGUAGAGGCCUAGUGCAAGCCAGGCUUAGCAUGUUGUUUUACUAUGCUUUCGUUAUGGUAGCAACAUAAAAGCACUUUCCAGAUUUCAAAAUAAAAUGAUAGCCUUGUUCACAUCCAUCUUCAAUCUUUUCAGUCUUCUUAGGAAGACCAAAUCUAGCUUCAUCUGUUUCAGACCUUUGUCCACCAACAGGCCCUGACUACAACAUCCGAAACCUUCCUGGAAGAACACAAUGUUGGCGAUUUCAUGCCAAACGUACAGUAAUGUUUUGGAUAAAAUGGGGAAAAAAAGAUAUAAAAUCUUAGUUUUGGCUCGUAUAAGUAGACUAGAAAGAUCUGUAAGUCUAUUUGGAAACAUCUGUCUUUUCAUUUUAAAAAAAAGUGUGACUCUCCUAUUUCAUUUUCUGUUACAUUAUUAUGAUCUCUUCCAGGUCUUGUGUAAUUUCCAGACUGCACUGUGGCUCCAAGCAGCUUUGUAUCACACAGACCAGUUUGCUGGUGACUGAGGCUUUGAGAGGCUCACCUGCUCCUCCCUCUCCCUGGCAGAUAUGCCCCCCCAGAGCCUCCAAGGAAGAGAACCCAGGGAGGCCGGCGAUUGAGAAAGCUUGCACCAGGGCUGUGUGCACUCGGCCUUUUCUCCAGGGGUAAUCCUAACAUUUGGGCAGAUGCCUGGCUUUAGCCAAGAGCCUCAUCCAAGAACAUCAUGAUCUCAAUCCUUGCUGGCUCACUCUGCCUUUGGCCCCCCAGGAGCCUCCUAGGCGGCAGCAGGGAAGGGCACAGAGUAUUUCCUGACACCCUGGGCCUCUCCUGGUUCCCAGCUUUGAGGAUGAAAGAGGGAGGAGGAACAGAGUUUGGCCUCAGGCCACCAGGGGCUGGUACCCCAGGGCUAGCUCGUGCUGUCUGGGAGAGUUAAACUGCUCAGAGCCUCAGUUUCCUCAAGUAUGAAAUGGGAGUGGCUCUGGCUGAGAUGUGUAUUUAGUGCCAGGCAGGUGGUGCUCUGUCAGUGGCAGCCUCACUUGGACAGUGGGACAGCUACAAGGCCGUGCAGUUAGUCAAGUGCAGGGGAAGAUGCUGUGGGGCCUCUGGGCCGAUUGAGCGCCGCCUAGAGGCCAGCCCGCCCUCCACCUGGGGCUUUCCCUGUUGGGAGUGACAGGAACACAAACCGGGGACAUGCAGAGGAAGGAAACUGACCAGAGUGUGUGGCACCUUUUUAUUUAGUCAGUCUUUAUUUAAAUGUGUGUUUUGAAAUAGCUUAUUAAAUAGGAUCUUCUCCAAAUUCAAUUCUCACAAUAUUUACAGUGAAUUUUGUGCAAACAUAUUUUGUGAGCUUCUUACUCCCCCCUUUCAUGUUAAUAAUUUACAAAUUUGUCUCACACAAAACCCCAUCUACUUCAUUCAUGGCCUCUUAGGCUCUAGUUUUCUGUUUGACAGGUACUGAUCUAGGGUAAGGAUUUGUUGGCCAAGAGCUAAUUCACGCCCAGAGGAAAUAAAACAUUUUAUUUAUCAAAAAAGAAUUACAACAAGGCAUUGCUUUCCAAAUGGAAACAUGUGUCCUAAGAAGUUGCAGAACAGUAUUAGCAGCCAAAUAAAUUUCCAAUGAUUAUA